ACUCAAAGGAAUAGACGGGCACCCGCACAAGCGGUGGAGCAUGCUGUUUAAUUCGAAAAUACGCGAAGAACCUUACCCAGGUUUGUAUCCCCGGCAAUGCUAUGGAAACAUAGCGGAGGUUAUCCGGGUGACAGAUGGUGCAUGGUUGUCGUCAGCUCGUGUCGUGAGAUGUUUGGUUAAGUCCAAUAACGAGCGCAACCCUCGUCUUUAGUUGCCUAUUUUAGGAUCUCUAAAGAUACUGCCAGUGUAAGCUGGAGGAAGGUGGGGAUGACGUCAAAUCAUCAUGCCUCUUACAUCUGGGGCUACAGGCGUGCUACAAUGGCCGGUACAACGAGUCGCAACACGGUAACGUGAAGCUAAUCUCUUAAAGCCGGUCCCAGUCCGGAUUGAGGUCUGCAACUCGACCUCAUGAAGUUGGAAUCGCUAGUAAUCCUGAAUCAGAAUGUCAGGGUGAAUACGUUCUCGGGUGUUGCACACACCGCCCGU
rnacentral:rRNA from 1 species